rnacentral:rRNA from 1 species
AGCGAACGCUGGCGGCAGGCCUAACACAUGCAAGUCGAACGAACCCUUCGGGGUUAGUGGCGGACGGGUGAGUAACACGUGGGAACGUGCCUCUAGGUUCGGAAUAACUCAGGGAAACUUGUGCUAAUACCGAAUGUGCCCUUCGGGGGAAAGAUUUAUCGCCUUUAGAGCGGCCCGCGUCUGAUUAGCUAGUUGGGGAGGUAAUGGCUCACCAAGGCUACGAUCAGUAGCUGGGCUGAGAGGAUGACCAGCUACAUUGGGACUGAGACACGGCCCAAACUCCUACGGGAGGCAGCAGUGGGGAAUCUUGCGCAAUGGGCGAAAGCCUGACGCAGCCAUGCCGCGUGGAUGAUGAAGGUCUUAGGAUUGUAAAAUCCUUUCACCGGUGAAGAUAAUGACUGUAGCCGGAGAAGAAGCCCCGGCUAACUUCGUGCCAGCCGCCGCAGUAAGAC